GACGAACGUUGGCGGCGUGCUUAACACAUGCAAGUCGAACGGAAAGGCCCUGCUUUUGUGGGGUGCUCGAGUGGCGAACGGGUGAGUAACACGUGAGUAACCUGCCCUUGACUUUGGGAUAACUUCAGGAAACUGGGGCUAAUACCGGAUAGGAGCUCCUGCUGCAUGGUGGGGGUUGGAAAGUUUCGGCGGUUGGGGAUGGACUCGCGGCUUAUCAGCUUGUUGGUGGGGUAGUGGCUUACCAAGGCUUUGACGGGUAGCCGGCCUGAGAGGGUGACCGGCCACAUUGGGACUGAGAUACGGCCCAGACUCCUACGGGAGGCAGCAGUGGGGAAUAUUGCACAAUGGGCGGAAGCCUGAUGCAGCAACGCCGCGUGCGGGAUGACGGCCUUCGGGUUGUAAACCGCUUUCGCCUGUGACGAAGCGUGAGUGACGGUAAUGGGUAAAGAAGCACCGGCUAACUACGUGCCAGCAGCCGCGGUGAUACGUAGGGUGCGAGCGUUGUCCGGAUUUAUUGGGCGUAAAGGGCUCGUAGGUGGUUGAUCGCGUCGGAAGUGUAAUCUUGGGGCUUAACCCUGAGCGUGCUUUCGAUACGGGUUGACUUGAGGAAGUUAGGGGAGAAUGGAAUUCCUGGUGGAGCGGUGGAAUGCGCAGAUAUCAGGAGGAACACCAGUGGCGAAGGCUGUUCUCUGGGCCUUUCCUGACGCUGAGGAGCGAAAGCGUGGGGAGCGGACAGGCUUAGAUACCCUGGUAGUCCACGCUGUAAACGGUGGGUACUAGGUGUGGGGUCCAUUCCACGGGUUCCGUGCCGUAGCUAACGCUUUAAGUACCCCGCCUGGGGAGUACGGCCGCAAGGCUAAAACUCAAAGGAAUUGACGGGGCCCCGCACAAGCGGCGGAGCAUGCGGAUUAAUUCGAUGCAACGCGUAGAACCUUACCUGGGUUUGACAUGGAUCGGGAGUGCUCAGAGAUGGGUGUGCCUCUUUUGGGGUCGGUUCACAGGUGGUGCAUGGCUGUCGUCAGCUCGUGUCGUGAGAUGUUGGGUUAAGUCCCGCAACGAGCGCAACCCUUGUUCACUGUUGCCAGCACGUUAUGGUGGGGACUCAGUGGAGACCGCCGGGGUCAACUCGGAGGAAGGUGGGGAUGACGUCAAGUCAUCAUGCCCCUUAUGUCCAGGGCUUCACGCAUGCUAUAAUGGCUGGUACAGAGAGUGGCGAGCCUGUGAGGGUGAGCGAAUCUCGGAAAGCCGGUCUCAGUUCGGAUUGGGGUCUGCAACUCGACCUCAUGAAGUCGGAGUCGCUAGUAAUCGCAGAUCAGCAACGCUGCGGUGAAUACGUUCCCGGG
rnacentral:rRNA from 1 species